rnacentral:tRNA from 1 species
UAGCUCAGUGGUAGAGCAAUUGCCUAGCAUGUGUAAGGCCCUGGGUUCAAUUCCCAG